AGAGAAGGCUCUCAAUCCCCCUCUCAUCCUGUGAUUCACACCCAAACUCCAGUAGAUCACCACCGUCGGCUUCGUCAUCAGUGACCAACAUGCAUGACGGCCGGAGCUCCUUUUCCAGGCGAAGAAAGGUACGUGCGUGAGUGCAUCAUUGAUGUGACAUGGUGGAGCAGCGCACGACGCGGAGGAAGCGCAAGACUUACGGUGCCUGGAGACUGCCCUGGGUUGUGGCGACUGAUGGUGUUGGCUGCUAGGCUUUUGUUUUUGUUAUUAUUAUUAUUUUUUUAGGGCUGUUGGGGUUUGCUUGGGGUUUGGGUAAUUGAGCUUGGUCUGUAAUUUUGUUUUAAGUGUUUGAUUUGGACUGUGAUUUGGACUUGAAGGUAGGUAUUUAAGCUUUAAUUGGUUUGUA